AUUGAACGCUGGCGGCAGGCUUAACACAUGCAAGUCGAGCGAGCGGCGGACGGGUGAGUAAUGUCUGGGGAACUGCCUGAUGGAGGGGGAUAACUACUGGAAACGGUAGCUAAUACCGCAUACUAUCGGAUGACCCCAGAUGGGAUUAGCUAGUAGGUGGGGUAAAGGCUCACCUAGGCGACGAUCCCUAGCUGGUCUGAGAGGAUGACCAGCCACACUGGAACUGAGACACGGCCCAGACUCCUACGGGAGGCAGCAGUGGGGAAUAUUGCACAAUGGGCGCAAGCCUGAUGCAGCCAUGCCGCGUGUAUGAAGAAGGCCUUCGGGUUGUAAAGUACUUUCAGUGGGGAGGCGUUACCCGCAGAAGAAGCACCGGCUAACUCCGUGCCAGCAGCCGCGGUAAUUC
rnacentral:rRNA from 1 species